rnacentral:rRNA from 2 species
UCCAGAGAUGGACUGGUGCCUUCGGGAACUGUGAGACAGGUGCUGCAUGGCUGUCGUCAGCUCGUGUUGUGAAAUGUUGGGUUAAGUCCCGCAACGAGCGCAACCCUUAUCCUUUGUUGCCAGCGGUUAGGUCGGGAACUCAAAGGAGACUGCCAGUGAUAAACUGGAGGAAGGUGGGGAUGACGUCAAGUCAUCAUGGCCCUUACGACCAGGGCUACACACGUGCUACAAUGGCGCAUACAAAGAGAAGCGA